GACGGAGGAUGCAAGUGUUAUCCGGAAUCACUGGGCGUAAAGCGUCUGUAGGUGGUUUAAUAAGUCAACUGUUAAAUCUUGAGGCUCAACCUCAAAAUCGCAGUCGAAACUAUUAGGCUAGAGUAUAGUAGGGGUAAAGGGAAUUUCCAGUGGAGCGGUGAAAUGCGUAGAGAUUGGAAAGAACACCGAUGGCGAAGGCGGGUCUCUGGGCAAUAACUGACGCUGAGGAGCGAAAGCGUGGGGAGCGAACAGG
rnacentral:rRNA from 1 species